rnacentral:tRNA from 2 species
GGUGACGUAGUUCAAUGGUGGAGCAGGGGAUUGUCUAUCCUCAGGUUGCGGGUUCGAGUCCCGUCGUCGCCG